CCCUUAGAUGUCCGGGGCCGCACGCGCGCUACACUGAAGGAAUCAGCGUGGCUCUGUCCCUGGUCCGAAAGGAUUGGGAAACCCGUUGAAUCUCCUUCGUGAUAGGGAUUGGGGCUUGGAACUGUUCCCCAUGAACGAGGAAUUCCCAGUAAGCGCGAGUCAUAAGCUCGCGUUGAUUACGUCCCUGCCCUUUGUACACACCGCCCGUCGCUACUACCGAUUGAAUGGUCCGGUGAAGCCUCCGGAUUGGCGCGCACCUCGGUGCCGCCGAGAAGUUGGCUAAACCUUACCAUUUAGAGGAAGGUGAAGUCGUANCA
rnacentral:rRNA from 1 species